rnacentral:rRNA from 1 species
CGGGUUGUAAAGCUCUGUGGAAGGGGACGAAAAAGAUACGGGCGAAUAGGCCGUGUCCUUGACGGACCCUUUUAGCAAGCACCGGCUAACUCUGUGCCAGGCAGCCGCGGUAAGACAGAGGGUGCAAACGUUGCUCGGAAUUACUGGGCGUAAAGCGCGUGUAGGCGGAUUGGCAAGUCGGAUGUGAAAUCCCUGGGCUCAACCCAGGACGUGCAUUCGAAACUGCCAGUCUAGAGGAUCGGAGAGGGAAGCGGAAUUCCUGGUGUAGAGGUGAAAUUCGUAGAUAUCAGGAGGAACAUCAGUGGCGAAGGCGGCUUCCUGGACGAUUACUGACGCUGAGACGCGAAAGCGUGGGGAGCAAACAGGAUUAGAUACCCUGGUAGUCCACGCCGUAAACGAUGAGUGCUAGGUGUCGCGGGUAUUGACCCCUGCGGUGCCGUAGCUAACGCGUUAAGCACUCCGCCUGGGGAGUACGGCCGCAAGGCUA